GCGGGCGAUGCUAAAUGGCUCCUAGACCGAGGUUGACGCGCGGGACUCAAAAUCCCGCGCCGCAAGGCGUGCCGGUUCGAUUCCGGCUCCCGGCACCA
rnacentral:tRNA from 1 species